rfam:Hordeum vulgare subsp. vulgare, WGS project CAJW01000000 data, contig: morex_contig_42586
GAAGUACUCCCUUCGAUCCGUAUUAUUUGUCUUAGAUUUGUCUAGAUAUGGAUGUAUCUAAGUACAGAAUUUAGAUACAUCCGUAUCUAGACAAAUCCAAGACAAAUAAUAUGGAUCGGAGGGAGUAGUUG